AUGGCUCCUGCAAAGAAGGGUGAUGAGAAGAAAAAGGGCCAUUCUGCCAUCAACGAGGUGGUGACCCGAGAAUACACCAUCAAUAUUCACAAGUGCAUCCAUGGAGUGGGCUUAAGAAGCGUGCCCCUCGGGAACUCAAAGAGAUUCUGCAAUUUGCCAUGAAGGAGAUGGGAACUCCAGAUGUGCACAUUGAUACCAGGUGCAACAAAGAGGUCUGGGCCAAAGGAAUAAGGUAUGACCCACACGGUAUCUGUGUGCGGUUGUCCAGAAAACGUAAUGAGGAUGAAGAUUCACCAAAUAAGCUCUAUAUUUUGGUUACCUACAUACCUGUUACCACUUUCAAAAAUCUAAAGACAGUCGAUGUGGAUGAGAA
rnacentral:lncRNA from 1 species